rnacentral:rRNA from 1 species
UACGUAGGGAGCGAGCGUUAUCCGAAUUUAUUGGGUGUAAAGCGUGUGUAGGCGGUUUAAUAAGUCUAAGGUUUAAUCCCGAAGCUUAACUUCGGUUCGCCUUAGAAACUGUUUUACUUGAGUGCGGUAGAGGCAAGUGGAAUUUCUAGUGUAGCGGUAAAAUGCUUAGAUAUUAGAAGGAACACCAGUGGCGAAGGCGACUUGCUGGGCCGUUACUGACGCUGAGACACGAAAGCGUGGGGAGCAAAUA